CAUUUCCCAUAACUCAAAUCCUCCUUUUUUGCAGCCUCCUGCCUUCUUCUGUCUCUGCUCCUCUCCCUGUUUUGCUCUCCUCUCCUGCUCAUCAUCAAAUUUAUAUACACAUCGAGAGACACAGAGCGUGAAGAAGAAUAAUCAAGAAUUGAGAAAUGGCGCAGUCGCUCGAAUUGUUGUUGAUUCAGUUCUUGAUGCCCGAUAACGAUGCAAGGAGGCAGGCAGAGGAGCAGAUAAAGAGGCUCGCAAAGGAUCCACAGGUGGUACCGGCGCUGGUGCAGCACCUCCGCACUGCCAAGACUCCCAACGUCCGCCAGCUCGCUGCCGUCCUCCUUCGCAAGAAGAUCACCGGCCACUGGGCUAAGCUCUCCCCUCAACUUAAGCAUCUUGUAAAGCAGUCCCUUAUCGAGAGCAUCACUGUGGAGCACAGUCCCCCAGUGAGACGUGCGAGUGCUAAUGUUGUGAGCAUCAUUGCUAAGUAUGCUGUUCCGGCUGGAGAGUGGCCCGAUUUGUUGCCUUUUCUGUUCCAGUGCAGUCAAAGUGCACAGGAAGACCAUAGAGAAGUGGCAUUGAUCCUCUUCAGCUCCUUGACUGAAACAAUUGGGAAUACCUUUCAACCUUAUUUUGCAGAUUUGCAAGCGCUUUUGCUCAAAUGCCUACAGGAUGAGACUAGCAAUCGUGUUAGAGUCGCUGCUCUCAAGGCAGUGGGAUCUUUUUUAGAAUUUAUAAAUGACGAAGUUCAAGUGGUUAAGUUCCGAGAGUUCAUUCCAAGCAUUUUAAAUGUGUCAAGACAAUGCAUUGCCUCUGGUGAGGAGGAUAUUGCCAUAAUUGCUUUUGAAAUUUUUGAUGAACUGAUUGAAUCGCCAGCACCUCUUCUUGGGGAUUCUGUUAAAUCUAUUGUGCAAUUCUCUCUUGAAGUUUGCUCUAGUCAGAAUUUGGAAUCAAGUACUCGUCAUCAGGCUAUUCAGAUAGUUUCAUGGCUUGCAAAAUACAAACCCAAUUCCCUAAAAAAGUAUAAGUUGGUGAUUCCCAUUCUGCAAGUCAUGUGCCCUCUGCUUGCAGAAUCAACUGAUGCAGAUGAAGAUGAUGAUCUUGCUCCAGAUAGAGCUGCUGCAGAAGUGAUCGAUACUAUGGCUUUAAACCUCUCAAAGCAUGUGUUUACCCCUGUUCUCGAGUUCGCAUCUUUAAGCAGUCAGAGUGCAAAUCCCAAGUUUCGGGAAGCUUCUGCCACAGCUCUAGGUGUCAUUUCAGAGGGUUGCUUGGAGUUGAUGAAAGACAAACUGGAACCUGUUCUUCAUAUUGUUUUAGGUGCUUUGAGGGAUUCAGAACAAGUCGUAAGAGGGGCUGCCUCAUUUGCAUUGGGUCAAUUUGCAGAGCAUUUGCAGCCUGAAAUUGUUUCACACUAUGAAAGUGUUCUUCCCUGCAUUAUGAAUGCACUUGAGGAUGGAUCUGAUGAAGUAAAGGAAAAAUCUUACUAUGCUUUAGCAGCAUUUUGUGAGGAUAUGGGUGAGGAAAUCCUUACUUUUCUUGGUCCUUUGAUGGGAAAGCUGAUGACAGCCCUCCAAAAUAGUCCUCGUAAUUUGCAGGAAACAUGCAUGUCUGCCAUUGGUUCAGUUGCUUCUGCUGCAGAGAAAGCUUUCGUUCCAUAUGCUGAAAGAGUCUUGGAGCUGAUGAAAAUUUUCAUGGUGCUUACCAAUGAUGAGGAUCUCCGCUCACGAGCCAGGGCAACGGAGCUUGUUGGAAUAGUUGCCAUGUCUGUUGGGAGAUUGAGGAUGGAGCCGAUUUUACCACCUUUCAUAGAAGCUGCACUUUCAGGUUUUGGACUAGAUUUCAGUGAACUUCGAGAGUACACUCAUGGAUUCUUCAGCAAUGUAGCAGAAAUCCUGGAUGAUGGGUUUAUGCAGUAUCUUCCUCGUGUUGUACCCCUUGCAUUUUCUUCUUGCAAUCUUGAUGAUGGCUCUGCUGUGGAUAUCGAUCAGUCUGACGAUGAAAAUAUGAAUGGACUUGGUGGAGUCUCAUCUGAUGAUGAAGCUCAUGAUGAGCCUAGAGUUCGAAAUAUUAGUGUGAGGACUGGAGUAUUGGAUGAAAAGGCAGCUGCUACUCAAGCUCUUGGCUUAUUCGCAUUGCAUACUAAGAGUUCUUAUGCACCAUAUUUGGAGGAGUCACUAAAGAUUUUGAUAAGACAUUCCGGAUAUUUCCAUGAAGAUGUUCGACUUCAGGCAAUCAUUGCUUUGAAACAUAUCUUGACAGCGGCACAUGCAACUUUCCAGAAUCAUAAUGAAGGGCCAGCAAAGAUGAAGGAAAUUCUAGAUGCUGUGAUGAAAAUAUAUAUCAAGAGUAUGACUGAAGAUGAUGACAAGGAAGUUGUUUCCCAAGUGUGCACGAGCGUAACUGACAUUAUUAAGGAUUAUGGUUAUCCGGCUAUUGAGUCUUAUAUGUCCCCGCUUGUUGAUGCAACUUUGGUAUUGCUCCGAGAAGAAUCAGCUUGUCAGCAAUCACACGAAGAUAGUGAUAUUGAUGACAAUGAUGAUGCUGAACAUGAUGAAGUACUAAUGGAUGCAGUUUCAGAUCUCCUUCCUGCAUUUGCAAAGUCAAUGGGUUCUCACUUUGCGCCUAUCUUCGUGAAGCUAUUCGAACCUUUGAUGAAAUUUGCGAGAGCUUCACGCCCUCCUCAAGAUCGGACCAUGGUUGUUGCUACCCUUGCUGAAGUGGCUCAAAACAUGGGUGCACCAAUUGCUGGCUAUGUUGAUCGGCUGAUGCUCUUGGUACUCAAAGAGCUGGCAUCAUCAGAGGCAACCAAUAGAAGGAAUGCUGCAUUCUGCGUUGGAGAAUUGUGCAAAAAUGGUGGCGAGCCAACUUUGAAAUAUUACAACGAUAUAUUACGUGGACUGUACCCCUUGUUUGGUGAAUCAGAGCCGGAUGAUGCUGUCAGGGACAAUGCUGCAGGUGCUGUGGCAAGGAUGAUAAUGGUGUACCCCCAGUCAAUCCCAUUAAAUCAGGUCCUUCCCGUUUUCUUGAAAGUUCUUCCACUAAAAGAAGAUCACGAGGAGUCUAUGGCUGUUUAUAGCUGUGUUUCUGCUCUUGUUUUGUCUUCGAAUCCUCAGAUUCUCUCUCUUGUUCCUGAACUGGUCAAUCUUUUCGCUCAAGUUGUGGUGUCUCCAAUUGAAACUUCUGAAGUUAAAUCGCAAAUUGGCAAAGCUUUUUCCCACCUGAUGUCACUCUAUGGCCAUCAAAUGCAACCAUUACUAAGCAGCCUCUCACCUGCACUUGCCAAUGCCCUGGCUGCAUUUGCUCCAAAAAGCUGAUUCUGCGUCUUCAAGAGUAAUGGUUUUUAAUGCAAAUAUAGGAGCUGUGCUGGACGGGAGAUGUUGUACUACAGUUCUAGGUUUUUGUCCAACUCCUGCUCAUCCUUUCGUUCCUUCUCCAGCUUUCCAGUAUGGACUCUUUUUUUGAGGUAUCCAAUCUUGCUCGUCUUCCUCUAUGGGUUUAAGUUUUAUUUAAGCUCUUGUUUUCCUGAUUUAUUUAUUUGUUGAAAUUGAGUGGCGAGGGUUCAUUUUCUUUUGGUUUUUCCUUUUUUUUUUUUUUUUUUUUAUUCCCGGGGGGGGGGGGG